rnacentral:rRNA from 1 species
UAAUACGGGGGGAUCGAGCGUUAAUCGGAAUUACUGGGCGUAAAGCGCGCGUAGGCGGUCUGGUCAGUCGGAUGUGAAAGCCCUGGGCUUAACCUGGGAAUUGCAUUCGAUACUGCCAAACUAGAAUGUUGGAGAGGGAAGUGGAAUUUCCGGUGUAGCGGUGAAAUGCGUAGAUAUCGGAAGGAACACCAGUGGCGAAGGCGGCUUCCUGGCCAAACAUUGACGCUGAGGUGCGAAAGCGUGGGUAGCGAACAGGAUUAGAUACCCUGGUAGUCCACGCCGUAAACGAUGAGAACUAGAUGUCGGGAGGGUUUAGCCUCUCGGUGUCGCAGCUAACGCAUUAAGUUCUCCGCCUGGGGAGUACGGUGGCAACACUA